UACGUAGGGUGCGAGCGUUGUCCGGAAUUAUUGGGCGUAAAGGGCUCGUAGGCGGUUUGUCGCGUCGGGAGUGAAAACUCAGGGCUCAACCCUGAGCGUGCUUCCGAUACGGGCAGACUAGAGGUAUGCAGGGGAGAACGGAAUUCCUGGUGUAGCGGUGAAAUGCGCAGAUAUCAGGAGGAACACCGGUGGCGAAGGCGGUUCUCUGGGCAUUACCUGACGCUGAGACGAAA
rnacentral:rRNA from 1 species